UUAGUUUUAGUAUUUAUAUUUGGUAAACAUUUAUCUUAAACAAUAGUAGAAGUAGUAUCACUUAUGUUUCAAUGGAUUGAACAUAUUUAUUUUAAAAAUCAGCCACUCCACAUUUCAUCUUUCUGGUCUCUGCAUUUGAGACAAUAAAUCUGAGCCCGACACCCCUACUAUGCAUCACUCUGCUGAACAGGGUCAAGAUGCUCCACAAACUGAGUUGUUAUAGGAGCCUCAUCACCGUACCUGAGGGAUUCGGGUAUGAUUUAAAUUUUACAUCUUAUGAUUAUGUUUAUCAACAAAUGAUUUAACUUUUACAUCUUCUGAUUAUGUUUAUCAACUAAUCUUUAAUUUAACCUCUCAAUAUUUUAAUUGUUGUAUUGCAGGUUUAAUCUAGUCCCAGAUAAUUACAUUCGCCAUUGACAAUAUUUUUGAUAUAGCAUACUCGAUGUGGGGUGAUAUCCAAUAGCCGCUCAAGCACUAAAUCUUCAAUGAGCUUAAGAAAAAAUAUGCAUGGCUUCCCCACCAUGACAGGCUACUAACUUUGAAAAGAAAGCAAGGUCUAUACUAGCCGACUUAUUUUCAGCCUCUCGUAGGAAAGG